rnacentral:rRNA from 1 species
AUCUUGACGUUAGCGACAGAAGAAGCACCGGCUAACUCCGUGCCAGCAGCCGCGGUAAUACGGAGGGUGCGAGCGUUAAUCGGAAUUACUGGGCGUAAAGCGCAUGCAGGUGGUUCAUUAAGUCAGAUGUGAAAGCCCGGGGCUCAACCUCGGAACCGCAUUUGAAACUGGUGAACUAGAGUGCUGUAGAGGGGGGUAGAAUUUCAGGUGUAGCGGUGAAAUGCGUAGAGAUCUGAAGGAAUACCAGUGGCGAAGGCGGCCCCCUGGACAGACACUGACACUCAGAUGCGAAAGCGUGGGGAGCAAACAGGAUUAGAUACCCUGGUAGUCCACGCCGUAAACGAUGUCUACUUGGAGGUUGUGGCCUUGAGCCGUGGCUUUCGGAGCUAACGCGUUAAGUAGACCGCCUGGGGAGUACGGUCGCAAGAUUAAAACUCAAAUGAAUUGACGGGGGCCCGCACAAGCGGUGGAGCAUGUGGUUUAAUUCGAUGCAACGCGAAGAACCUUACCUACUCUUGACAUCCAGAGAAUUCGCUAGAGAUAGCUUAGUGCCUUCGGGAACUCUGAGACAGGUGCUGCAUGGCUGUCGUCAGCUCGUGUUGUGAAAUGUUGGGUUAAGUCCCGCAACGAGCGCAACCCUUAUCCUUGUUUGCCAGCACGUAAUGGUGGGAACUCCAGGGAGACUGCCGGUGAUAAACCGGAGGAAGGUGGGGACGACGUCAAGUCAUCAUGGCCCUUACGAGUAGGGCUACACACGUGCUACAAUGGCGCAUACAGAGGGCUGCAAGCUAGCGAUAGUGAGCGAAUCCCAAAAAGUGCGUCGUAGUCCGGAUCGGAGUCUGCAACUCGACUCCGUGAAGUCGGAAUCGCUAGUAAUCGUGAAUCAGAAUGUCACGGUGAAUACGUUCCCGGGCCUUGUACACACCGCCCGUCACACCAUGGGAGUGGGCUGCAAAAGAAGUGGGUAGUUUAACCUUCGGGAGGACGCUCACCACUUUGUGGUUCAUGACUGGGGUGAAGUCGUAACAAGGUAGCCCUAGGGGAACCUGGGGCUG